GGAAGGGACGAAGGAAGGAGAGAGACUGAAAGCACUUUAAAUCAUGCAAGCAGCGAUACACUUGUCCUGGAGUAAGCAUGAGACGGAGGUGUGACCUAAAUAUUAAUAAUAGUCGUCACAGUGUAAGCAUCUUUCUGUGCUAGGCAUGAUUCUGGUAUAAAGAGAUUUUAUACACGGUUUUGACACAAAGUGCCUCCUAAACCCAAGCAAACUAUUUUUUCCGGUGUUCAACCAAAGAAACAUCCAAGGAAACCCUGGCUGUCCUCGAUCCACUGACAGGUGGGAUGUCAGGGGCUCAUGUGCUGCUUUCCUAAGGGCAUUUCAAAGACAAUUUCAGCCUCAUUCCAUUAACCCUCAGGUAGGAUGAUUCACUUUUCAACGGAAUUAAAAAGUGCCUAGGCUUUGAAGUGACAAAGUCCUGGGAUCAAAUCCUACCACCACCACUGAAGCAGAGUACCUGGGAAAAUGCCUUCACACCUCAGAGCCUCUUAAGUGGCCACCUUGAGAAAGGGGUAGUAACACCUGCCCGCGAACACCGAGGCAGAAGCCCUGACCCGUCAUGGAGCUAGAGACGGCAUGGGCAGGUGUGGCUGUGACGGAAGGAAAAGCAGGAGAAGAGGCCAGUGCCCCCGGACGCACCCUCUGCCUCCUGGACUUGCUGCUGUGGCUGUGUCUGGGACAGCUGCUUUUCUCUCUUCCUCUUCUUUUUCUUACCCUGGAAAAUAUAGCAAAAGGAAGAGUUAAGCCGGGAGAGAAGAAUGCUGGCUUCUCAGGGGCUCCCAGAUCAGAGAGAAUACAGGACGUUGCCCUUUACUGCUCUUGAUCCCUCAGGGAGGGUGUGGAGAGAGAAACGAUUCAGAUCACACCCGUGGGAACCCGCGAGGAGGCAGAGGGAGCCCUUCCUCCCCUACAAAUGCAUUUCCCCUCCAGGUUGGGUGUCCAACGCCUUCUUGGAAGGCCUCCUCCCUCCACUGCCCUUCAGACUCUGUUUUUCCAUUUCUGUCCCUAGAACAGUGCUUCUUGAUCUUUUCUGAGGGGUCCCAGGUCCCUUUGAAAGUUUGAUGCAACUGUAGGUCCUCUUACCAGAAAAAAAGCAAAGAAGAACACGCAUGCAAAAAUUGGCUUGGUUUCCGGGAGCUCAGAGACACGCCCCCUGAGGAUCACACACUGGUCUUUGAGCCAUGGGUUAGGAGUGGCUAGAGACACUCUUCCCACCACAGCUAAACAUGUGCCCUGUGUUAUGAAAUCGAGGGCAGAGUCCAGUUCAAAGGGAAAUGUAUAAACUGAAGUCUGUCCUCAGGACUUGUUGACUUCCUGAGAAUUAAAACGUCUUCCCUAUUUCUAGAGAAGUAUGGGCUUCUCCCCCAUCUUAAGAGUCCUCUACAAAUGCAGUUACUUUCCUUUGCCCUUCUUCCUCUUGCAGAGCUGCUUUUGGGGUCUGAGCAUCCUCUGCCCAGAGCGUGCACUUACGUAGUUGUCCCGGGCUGACCAGGUCGGGUAGAGCUGCGAGUGAAGCUGCCGCUCCUUCCGGGCCAGCUCGUAGUACUUGGCCUGUUCUUCUCGAGACAGGUUGUGCCACUGGGGGAGAGAGGGUCAGAGACGCAGGGAGCCAUCAAUGCAGGGAUGCUGCCCCCGUGGCCUGGAGGGUGAGGGCAGGUCUUACCUUUCUUCCCAGGAUCUGGUUAAUGGCCGCACUUUCCUUCAGGGUGCACUCAGCCACCACCUUGGCUCUCAUCUCCUUCAUAUACAACAUGAAGGCAUUCAGAGGCUUCUUCACGUGGGGCUUCUUUUCUUCCUCCUUUUUCACGGUGACUGGUGAUUUCCUGGGAAGGCACGUGAUUGUAGGAGAGAAGAUGCACCACGUCCCUGAAAGGACAGGGACCCAGAAGGUCCGAGGGAGUAAGUCCCGACAGAGAGGGAGAGCCUGGCUGGGGAGGCUGUGCUGCCUGCUGAGUGACACUAAGAGAGAAUAGUACAUGGCAUUUGCUGCUCAGUGUGUGGACACCCCUCUUCACAGCCUGUACCCUCUCACCCGCAAUCCAGGCUGCCGCUUACUUACGCGCUCACUGCAGGGCUCAGGCUGGGGGGUGCCGGUUCCUGCUUGACGAUGGGGGAGACGAUGGCAGGGUGGGGGAUCCCUGAGGUGGGCAGGCCAGGGUGGGCAGGAGCCACCAUGUGAGGAGAGAACCGACUGGAGACCAGGCUGUGCACCGGAUAGAAACAAAUGAUAACAGAGGGAUUCAGGCUGGAUACCUGCCACCCGGCAGAGGACACGGUGGCUCUCUGCCUUGAGGGCACAGGUAUGUCCGUGGGGCAGAGUCUGAGGACUAGAAGGCUAUUUGUCGUCUUCUAGAGAACCAGGUUUGGGAGAUGCCUAAUGCCUCUUCCCUCUCCCCACCAACACCCAGGCUGCCCAUCUGGUCCUGGAAGCAGGCGGGAUGAAACACACAAAAGGGGCGGAGGGUCAGAGGCCCGGGCACGCUGGGGAAAAGAAGGGCUUAGGCUGUGGGCGGCUUUCCUCUGUCCUCAGAGGUUCCACUGUCAGGUAGAGCUGGUCCCUAAGACAGAAAUCCCCUUUCACUGUCUCCUCUCCUGACAUCAUUUCAGGAAAAAUCCAUCUUCUCCCAGUCCCUGGCUUCACUGCAAUAUACAGACAGUCUGCAACUUAGGAUUUUUGACUUUAUGAUGGUGCAAAAACGGUAUGAAUUCAGUACUCUGUUUGACCUAGAUGGGGUUAUGUCUAGAUAAAACCAUCAUAUGUUGCAAAUAUUCUAAGGUGAAAGUUGUGUUUUCAAUGUACGAUGGGUUUAUCAGGACGUGGCUCUGUCCUAAGUCGGGGAGCACCUGUCCUCAAAAUGCUUCUGUGCCAGAGCCCACGGCAGGAGGCAGAGCGCUGGGGCUUUGAAAUCCUUUUGUUGGAGAGAUGGGGACAGUGAUCCAGUGGUCUCCAUUCUGACCUGGGGGUGGGAAGCGCGGGGCACAAGAAGGUGCUUGACCAAAGAGAGGUUGGGGGAAGGGUGAGCCCUAUGCCUGCUCAUUAACUGGCAAGGAAAAGCUGUUUCGUGGUCAGAAAUGGCGUGGUCGCUAAGACAAACAUGUGGACAGCCCCAGCCCCGGAACUCACCUGGACAUCGAGGCGUUCAUGGCGAGGGCGGGGUAAGGGUGCCGGAAGCCACCAGGGGGAAGGGAGUACACGGGCUGGCCUUGCCUGUGAGGGUGAGGAAAUCCGGUCAGCACAUUGGGAAAGCUCAGGGCAGGGGAGGAGAGGCGCUUGGGAAGAGGGGAUGAGAAAUAAGGGAAGGAAGUGGGAAGGCAGAGCUGGGAGCAAGCUGCCCGGGCGGGAGCAGGGAGGCCUAGUCCUGGGCUUGCCUCUGAAGGGGCUCCACAGUGCAGGGCACGCAGGGCACAGAGGCAGGGCUCGGCGCAAGGAGGGAGCAGGGGGAAGAGAGGCUGUGGGUUCCUUACUGUGGGACGAGCCAGCCGAGGGGGUGGGGGAUUUGUCCGACAGCUCCGGGAGAGAGUGGGUAAUACGGUGACAGCUCGGAUGGGUGAGGGGGCCGGGGGAUUCCUGCUUCCAAAGAGAGAUGUGUCAGACUGCCCCUCGCCCUGCCAGAGCGUCGCAACGAACAUCAAAUGGGAGUGUCCUGCCCUAUGUCCCUGCUGCUCUGCAGCCUAGCGGGCGCUUGUGGCAUCGUCCUUGCCCUCUGUCACCUCCCUAGCAGCUCUCACCAGUCAGUCAAGGACAUAUUCAGGGAAGGCAGGACUAAUGCACCCUUCUCUAGCUGCAUGGAUUCCAUCUCUGUGAAGAGUACCUUCCAGCUGGCUGUGAUAUAGAAGCCAGUAUCCUGGAAGAGAGGACAGGACCCACAAGAUCAAUGACAAGAGUCACUGGUGAACUAAGUCUCUAGAAAGCCCGCCUCAUUCAUGGAGAAAUAAACUUUGGAUUCCUCCUCCA